UGAACUUCCGGUUCCCCGAGUGACGUCAUCACGCACCUGUUGCUCAUUAGCGCUGUGACGGCUCCAGCCAGGCCUUCUUUUAACCAAACAACAAAACAAAAGCGAUUUGUUUUGCUUGAAUUACGAAGAAAAUGAUUCCAUUGGAGAUAUUCCCAAUCAUUGUCACAAUACUACUUCCUCUAGUUGACGGAAGUGUUGGUGAAGUUGCAUUUUCGAUUUGCUGGAUGGACAUGAACCACUUUUUGGAACGCAAUGAUGGCAGCAUUUGGCUCAACGACACCGACUUAAGUCCCAUUGCAACAGUGGGCAAGUUGACGUCACUGCCUUUACCCUCAGCCGUGGAAAACAAGCUGGCUCUGGAGUAUGGAGAGACAAUUCACACGUGGACUUUGACCAUUUCCCCAGAUGCCAUGCAAACCAAAGUCAAUGGGCGACAGAAACCGCAGAAACAUCCAACAUUUACCACACAGAGUAUGCUGGAUUUGUUGGACCCUUACGAGGACUUUCCUUGUAAAAAUGGAACACUCUUCUUCUAUCAGGAGGACAACUUCUUCCUGGCUCUGGGUCACUCUGCGAGUUACCCAAUUGAAGUGCAGUCCAGGUCUUCCUCUACAUUGUUGUUCUCGUGGAAGGAGAACCAGGCAGUCCCGGUUUCUGGCAGCAGCAACACUGGGACUCUGUACCGCUUGGACCCGAGCUUUGAAGACCCGCUGAGCAAGGAGAUGAGCGCGGAUGGCCAGUUUCACUUCACCAACCUGUCCUCCUGCACCCUCUAUGUGAUGUGUGUGGACAUUACAGACGCUGACCUCGUCCCGUGCAUCUCUUGCCUGACUGAUCCAGUCGUUCCAAUCCACUUUGAGGUUAGUCGGUGGAACAGCAGCAGCAUAUCUUUGACCUGGGACUUCCCUGAGAGAUCCAGGUUCUCCUCCUUCCUGCUGACAUCGUUCCAUCUGAAGGGCACGCAGCGCAUGGUUGAGGACAUGCACGCCACCAGCAACUUUACGCUGACUUUGUCUGAGUUGCAGCCCUGCGCCCAGCUCACGUUUGGCCUGCAAAGCGUCUGCCGGGCAGGGAGUGAGAGGCGCUACAGUGAAAUGAUCUUCAACCAUGGAAACGCUGCUCACUCCGGCAUUGAGACCUUGCGUAUGAUCUCGCGAGGCCCCGACAACUACACGCUGGGCUGGGAGGUGAAGAGCACCCGCUCCAACCCCAUGUUCAAGAUCUUCCAUGAGGACACCCUGCAGAGCAUCACCCACGCUAACAACUACACGGUGAAGGGGCUGCAGCCCUGCCGCCGCUAUCGUGCAAGAGUGGAAGCAGCUUGUGGGGAGACUAUGACGCUGCAGGUGCACACAGUCCCCCGCGGCGUGCUGGCGCUCAGGUACCGCACAAACGACUCCACGGCGUCGUGGAUCCCUGGCACGCACGCCUCCGCCUUGGUCUUUUCCUACGCCCUGUCCCUGGAGAACGGCAGCAGCCUCCAAGCGGGCAACUUGAGCGAGACGUGGCUCCGUCUGCCGGGGCUGCAAGACGGCCAGACCUACAUCCUGGAGGUGUGGGAGCAGUGUGAGGCACACUGGAGGUCUGAGCGCACCACCUUGUGUUUCAAAGUGGACCGGUCCACCUACGGCUUCCUCGUGAGCGGUGUUGGACAUCACGGCCAUCUGAAAAAAGAAGUUCAUGCAAUAAGGUUUGUGGUGCCGGGUUCCCUGCCUGAGGAUGUGGACCACCAGAUCUCCGAGGCAACCGCAGCAAUGCUGGACAGCGUCCAAAAUAUGCUGCAGUUGUUGCUGAGUGAUUUCCAUCCAGCGGUGCGUGUUGAGCUAGCUUCAGUAGAACCUGCAUCUGAGCCCAACAACACAGAGGUUCUUCUCAUGCUUUUUGAGGCGGACCAACAAGAAGACUUCAUGCCGCUGCCGGUGCAACUUCACAUGGACUUCAUAGAAUCUCUACACAGCACUGAUGUCUCCGUUAAAGAUGGCGUCCUUUACUGGAACAGUGCAGAUGUGUGUGCGUCACACAGACACGCGUGUCCCCAGAACUCACAAUGCAUCAACACGCUGGCUUCAUACGUGUGUGCGUGCAAGACAGGAUACUACGAUGUUAGCGCUGUGCUUUACAACACGCCCUCACACACCCAGCCCGUCUGCAACGAGAAAGGACUUUUCAGUCAGUGCCAGAACUCUGUGAUGAGCGGCGGCCUGGCGAAGUCCUACUUGACGUCUUACAUCGGAGGCGAUGUGGACGUGAGGCUGAACGAUGGAAGGUGUCCGGUGGAGGAAAGUGGAUCCAUGUUCCACUUCCACACGCCCAGGACUGUCUCAGAGUGUGGGACACGCAGGCGGGCGAACAAAAGUCACAUUGAGUUCCAGAACACCCUGACGGUGACGCUGAGCAAGAAAGAAGCCAUCAGUCGCAGGGACCUGAAAGUCGUGUGGAAGUGCGUCUACCCCUUGCACUACGUCCGGCAGGCCCACGUGGGCAUUGACCUGAAGUGGCUCUCCGCCUUCUCUCUGGUGGAGUUCAACGCUUCCCUGCAGCUUGGCUUGACCAUGAGCCUCUUCAGCGACGUGUCCUACAGCAGCAGCUUUGAAGACUCUGUCGACAUGGAGCCGGAGGACACGCUGUUCUUCCAGGUGGCGCUGAACACCAACAACUCCUUUGCCUCCGACGUCCUGGUGCACGUGGAGUCCUGCUGGGCCACGGAGAGCCCCGACCCACUGGAGGACAUUCAAGGCAUCUUCCUCCAGGAUGGUUGUGCCGUGGACAAGACUUUCCGCUGGCUCUCUGCUAACGGCCUGGCUCAGAAAAGCAGGUUCAGCUUGCAGAUGUUCCACAUGCCCAAGGAACUGCCUCUCUUUUUUCACUGCUUGGCCACCGUAUGCGGACAUCAGGAGCAGUGUACCAAGAACUGCACCGGCCACCAGCGCACCCAGAGAGCCGUCAAGCAGAUCGCGGACCGGCGGUGGAAACGAGCCGCGGUGGUGUCCGCCGGACCCCUGGUGGUCAGCCAGGGGAGGUCAGGAGUGCGAGCGCCUUCCUGACAGCUCGAAGGGGAAUGCUGCCUGCACCUCAACCCAACCAUGCCCCCAACACCCCCAUCUCCCGAAUUCGGAGGUCUCAAGUUUGGCAAGGAUGCAGCACAUGACCAUGGUCUUCAUUGUCGUGGGAUCAGUCAGCAUUUUGGCAGUAACGUUCUUGUCAAUGAGAGCAACCAAAGCCAUCAUGUCCUUCUAUGAGCGACGGAAAUAAAGCCUUUUAUUUCUACUUUUC